rnacentral:rRNA from 1 species
GCACGGCGCACGGGUGCGUAACACGUGGGCAAUCUGCCCUUCGAUGGGGAAUAACUCCGGGAAACCGAAGCUAAUUCCGCAUAACAUUUCGAGGACUCAAAGCCGUAAGGCGUCGAAGGAGGAGCCCGCGCACGAUUAGCUAGUUGGUAGGGUAACGGCCUACCAAGGCUUUGAUCGUUAGCUGGUCUGAGAGGAUGGCCAGCCACACUGGAACUGAGACACGGUCCAGACUCCUACGGGAGGCAGCAGUUGGGAAUCUUGCACAAUGGGCGAAAGCCUGAUGCAGCGACGCCGCGUGGAGGACGAAGUCUUUCGGGAUGUAAACUCCUUUUGCCAGGAAAGAUAAUGACGGUACCUGGUGAAUAAGCCCCGGCUAACUACGUGCCAGCAGCCGCGGUAAGACGUAGGGGGCGAGCGUUGUCCGGAUUUACUGGGCGUAAAGAGCGCGUAGGCGGUUAACUAAGUCAGGUGUGAAAUCUCCAGGGCUCAACCCGGAAACUGCAUUUGAUACUGGCUAACUUGAGUGUCGGAGAGGUAACUGGAAUUCCUGGUGUAGCGGUGACAUGCAUUGAUAUCAGGAGGAACACCCAUGGCGAAGGCAGGUUACUGGCCGACAAC